UACGGAAGGCAGCAGUGGGGAAUAUUGCACAAUGGGCGCAAGCCUGAUGCAGCCAUGCCGCGUGUAUGAAGAAGGCCUUCGGGUUGUAAAGUACUUUCAGUCGUGAGGAAGGUGUUAAGGUUAAUAACCUUAGCAAUUGACGUUAGCGACAGAAGAAGCACCGGCUAACUCCGUGCCAGCAGCCGCGGUAAUACGGAGGGUGCGAGCGUUAAUCGGAAUUACUGGGCGUAAAGGGCACGCAGGCGGUUAAUAAGUUGGAUGUGAAAUCCCCGGGCUUAACCUGGGAAUGGCAUUCAAGACUGGUUAGCUAGAGUCUUGUAGAGGGGGUAGAAUUCCAUGUGUAGCGGUGAAAUGCGUAGAGAUGUGGAGGAAUACCGGUGGCGAAGGCGGCCCCUGGACAAAGACUGACGCUCAUGUGCGAAAGCUGGGGAGCAAACAGGAUUAGAUACC
rnacentral:rRNA from 1 species